CGCCAGCAACACACGCCAUCCCAGCAACACACGCCAUCCCAACGCAACAACAGCAAGUAUGCAUACGCAGCGGUAAAAUCACGCCACCGCCAGCAACACACGCCAUCCCAGCAACACACGCCAUCCCCACGCAACAUGUUGCGAAUGUGCUAGCACGCAACACAGGCUUGGUGGGUAGUUAGAUGGCGGACGAUCAGUCAGUCAGCACGGGACUGUGACAGCGUACACACGUGUUGGGCAUCAGACUAUGCAGUGAGUUUAUCCUCUGGCUAGUCUUGGUACCCUAACUUGUGAACGCCGUAUGUUAAGGGUGAGCUCGGUAGUGAGUUUAUCCUCUGACCGACUCAACCGUUAACAUCGCGGUCGCUAAGGCAGUCUUCCGGGGUCUUUAAAAGUGACCGUCGCAGUAAAGCCGAACGUCGGCAGAAGCAGCGCGUGGUAAAAGUGGUGAUAGCAAGGUCCAGUACAGCCGAGCGUCGGCAGAGGCAGCAGCGCGUGGUCAACGUAGCGACAGCAAGGCGUAGUGAAGCCUACGCGCGCGUCGGCAGAAGUAGCCGAGCGCAGAAAGCGUAGCACGCGAGAGUGAACGCGUAUAGCAGGGCAGCGACAGGGAGGCCCACACGAGCGCCGGCAGAAGCAGCAGCGCGUGGUCGAAGUGGUGGCAGCAAGUCGUCUAGCACCCAGGAGCGCAGCAGAGCGGGGAAACGGUAUUGCCCUAGCGGAGCACACCGAACCGUUACCCCAACAGCGCCGUCCUCAGGAGACGUCCUGUGUCGUGGGCUAAUAUAUUAUAUUAGAUAUUUAGUUGAGUUGAAUAAAUAAAGAAACGGUUCGCAGAGGA